UACGUAGGGAGCAAGCGUUGUCCGGAAUCAUUGGGCGUAAAGAGCUCGUAGGCGGCUUGGUAAGUCGGAUGUGAAACCUCCAGGCUCAACCUGGAGUCGCCAUCCGAUACUGCCAUAGCUAGAGUCCGGUAGGGGCCCACGGAACUCCUGGUGUAGCGGUGAAAUGCGCAGAUAUCAGGAGGAACACCGGUGGCGAAGGCGGGACUCUGGGCCGAUACUGACGCUGAGGAGCGAAAGCGUGGGGAGCAAACAGG
rnacentral:rRNA from 1 species